rnacentral:siRNA from 1 species
UCCAAGCAGCAGGUGACUAGGU